rnacentral:rRNA from 1 species
UACGUAGGGGGCAAGCGUUGUCCGGAUUUAUUGGGCGUAAAGAGCGUGUAGGCGGCCAAACAGGUCAGCUGUGAAAACUCGAGGCUCAACCUCGAGACGUCGGUUGAAACCGUUUGGCUAGAGUCCGGAAGAGGAGAGUGGAAUUCCCGGUGUAGCGGUGAAAUGCGCAGAUAUCGGGAAGAACACCCGUGGCGAAGGCGGCUCUCUGGGACGGUACUGGCGCUGAGACGCGAAAGCGUGGGGAGCGAACAGG